UGACUUACGGAGAUGAGAUUCGUGGUC
rnacentral:sRNA from 1 species